rnacentral:tRNA from 3 species
AGCCCGGUAGUGUAGUGGUCAAUCAUGCAGGACUCUGGAUCCCGCAACUUCGGUUCGAAUCCGUGCCGGGCUACCA